UGCCACCCGUCCCUUAAAAUACGGAAUCGUCCUUUAUUUGACAAUUAAUUGUCAGAUUGUUCCGUAUUUUCAUAAAUGCCCCACACACGUCUGUCACACACUCAUCAAAACUGUCUAAUGAACAAAAUAAAACACAGGAAAUAUUAAGGGCAGCCAAUUUCUUCCACGUAGGACCUACGUAGCGAGGACCCGCGAGGUCCAGCGGAUAGAUCUCAGAGUUGUCUACGUGCCCAGUCCUGCCCGGUCCUGUCUCUGGUUUCCUGCUUACAGACGCUGCUGCACCCGCGCGUCUAAAAAUGUCUACAAGCGAAACUCCACCGCGUUCAAAGAAGCAAGAACAUUUUCAAAAUUGCAGACGUGAUUGGGAAGACUGGAACCCCUGGCAGUGGGUACGAGACAAACUGUGUUUUCUGUUGCUCGUGGACUGGCUGAAGUAAGGCAGCAUCAGGAGACCAACAGGUGAGAACCAUGACAACAGAGAGAACCCAAGCAGCAGGUCACAGUUUUUCAUCCCCAAUCAUCUCCUGAAGCUGAUAUGGUGGCAACCCGAGCCAGAGCCAGAGCAUCCCCCUCCCCAGCACACCACUGCAUAGAAGACCAUGGAUGCCACCACAGUGUCAUAAAAGGCCUUCAGCAGUGGCCUGCUCACACCAAAUGAUGCGAGUCUCCGAAGCAGACCAAAGAACUACAGACUCUUCACAACCUGCUCAAACUCUUGGUACAGGACCUCACCACACAGGUCAAGAAGGUUUCCAUCUCAUUUCUACUCUGAAGAUCACCUUCUCCUGCUCAAACUGCUGACAAAUGUUUCUGCUGCUCUAAAGUCUGGUCUCCAGAACUUCCUAAAAACUCUCAAAGUCUCUUCUGCUGCAGGUUGCUAUGUAGAACUGUUACAGAAAACCUCACUAAACCACAUGGAGGGGCCUCAAGAUAGUCGUCCAAAUGAAACCAUACAAAAACCAAACUAGCACAACCCAAACACUAAAGUCUCCUGCAGCCUACCAGAGAACCUCUGAGAACAGAGAAUCAGGACAGGAACUCUUACCUUCUGGACAACCAACGCUGGUUCUCAAACAAGAAUACAGAAUGUGUCUGACCAAAAACCUCCGAAGACUCACUACAGCCAAGAUAAAGACACAACUCAGCUGCACCAAAUCCACUAAUCACUGCACACAUAAGAACCAUGUGCAAACUGUGGCUAAAGAACCACAUUUACCAAGACAACUAUCCAGUACAAAGCCCUAAAACACACCAAGAAACACAUUAAAGCCUAUUUUACUGCUGGAAGCUGCAAGCCAACGACUAAAGAACAAAUUAAAGCAAUGGAGCCAAACCCAGUACACUGGUGGAGAGAAGCAGAGGAAAUGUUUGUCUGCAGCUAAAUAAAGCAGGAAGACACUGAGCUGCUCAGGUGUUCCUGAUAACACCAAGCAGCCACCUGGACAGCCAAUAGGAACACAGCUUACUGGGAGUCCAGAGGGCUGGAUUAGUCAAGUAAAUUUAGUUUAAAGUUGAAGCAGAAAGUUAACAAAGAAAGUUGAAAACCACCUUCUGAUACCUGAAAUCUCUGAGUUUUCACACAAAGAACACCUGAACAUGUCAAACUGGUUCCAUAGUAGAACCAUCAUUGUAAAAACGUCAUAGUAUGGUGUGUUGCUAAAAAAACAUUACAACCCGGCUGUCUAGGGUCGCCGAGGAGCAACACAAAAACAGGACAAACGCUGGUUUACAGGGGGUUAGGCGGCUAUUUAUUUGAAAGAGUAAGUUUACAACAACACAACAUGUGAGCAGAAAAAUCACAGUCUGUCUUUAGUUCAGCUGAAAAAAUUAGCUUUUGUCUUUUUUAUUGACUAAACUUUUCAGGAAGUAGAUGAAGAAUAAUUAAAGCUCUCAUGUAGAAGUCCAACUUAUUUUGGAUCCUUGUGGAGAGUUUAAUCUUAGAGUUUGUACAGCUGUUGAGUUUUUAGAGUCACAUGGAUUGUUUUGACAUUUAAUAACCGAGUCCUGAAAUAAAAUUACAGUUGUGGA